CCAAAUCCCACGACCGGACAAUUCCUGGCACAUAGUUUAUGCUCAGCCAAUAUCUGUGACUGAUUGAUGAAGAACUGCCCGUCGAAAGAAUUCAGUACUGAGCGAGGAAACCAGCCUUCAGGGAAGGAGAGCGAGGCCAGCUGGGAGGCGAGCCAAGAGAUCUGGAUUAUGACACAAGCCUGGUUCUUGGACCUGCCAUUUUGGGAGAGAAGGGAUAGCCUAGUCAAUAUGGUGACUCUGAUGAAAAAAUUUAAAACCAAAGGAAAACAACCACAAUGCAGUUAGUGCUACAGAGGUGGGAGUGGAGAGGAAGAAGCUCUGAGUCUUGAGUGGUGCAUUGAAGGGGAGAACUUCCUAGAAAAGCUUAGGUAAAAGUCUAUAAUAGCACAAAUGCAACAGUGGCAUCCUGUGGCUUGGCCUGUGAAUGACAAGCGAGUGUCACCAUUGUGGCCUUGGGAGGCCUGGCUUCAUGGCUGCACAGAGGGAGAGAAGCAUUGCAAAGAAUGGCUAUGCCAGGAGAAAAAAACCCCAACCGUCUGUGGGUCCUUCCAGAUACCAUCUACACUUGAGGGUGAAUUACUGCGAGAUGAACGUCGAUUCCCUGUCUGACUGCUCUAACGUUUGUGGAGUUCAAUGCUCAAGGUCACAGCAGGAGGAGCACAGAGACAGCUGACCUACAUGAGCCCCCUCUGUGGCUCAUCCAGGAGAACCUCGUUGAGGAGACGCUUUGCAGGAUGGAAGCCUUUUGCAGAUGGAGAGCAAAAUCAGGCUGUGGGCUUUUGCAGGAGGCAAAAUUAUAAUUUGCAUUUCUCUGCGGAGUGAGAACUCUGUAAUUUAGGAUUUUGUCUAAUUGCUGUUUAGAGUUCCAGGGA
rnacentral:lncRNA from 1 species